AACGAACGCUGGCGGCAGGCCUAACACAUGCAAGUCGAACGAACCGUUUACGGUGAGUGGCGCACGGGUGAGUAACACGUGGGAAUAUACAUUUCGGUAAGGAAUAACGUAGAGAAAUUUACGCUAAUACCUUAUAAUGACUACGGUCCAAAGAUUUAUCGCCGAAGGAUUAGCCCGCGUUAGAUUAGGUAGUUGGUGGGGUAAUGGCCUACCAAGCCUACGAUCUAUAGCUGGUCUUAGAGGAUGAUCAGCCACACUGGAACUGAGACACGGUCCAGACUCCUACGGGAGGCAGCAGUGAGGAAUGUUGCGCAAUGGGGGAAACCCUGACGCAGCCAUGCCGCGUGAGUGACGAAGGCCUUAGGGUUGUAAAGCUCUUUCAGAUGUAAAGAUAAUGACGGUAACAUCAGAAGAAGCUCCGGCUAAAUUCGUGCCAGCAGCCGCCGUAA
rnacentral:rRNA from 1 species